CGGGAUGGCCGAGUGGUCUAAGGCGCCAGACUGAAGGGUAGGUCUUGCAAUGUUGAACAUAUGCAUAAAUGCAUAUGUGGCACCGUUCGUGGUCGACUCUUCUGAAGGCGUGGGUUCGAAUCCCACUUUUCUGA
rnacentral:tRNA from 1 species